rnacentral:rRNA from 1 species
GUGAGGAAUAUUGGUCAAUGGGCGGAAGCCUGAACCAGCCAUCCCGCGUGGAGGAAGACGGCCCUAUGGGUUGUAAACUUCUUUUCAAGGGGAAGAAAGUUCGCGACGUGUCGCGAUUUGCCGGUACCUUUGGAAUAAGCAUCGGCUAACUCCGUGCCAGCAGCCGCGGUAAUACGGAGGAUGCGAGCGUUAUCCGGAUUUAUUGGGUUUAAAGGGUGCGUAGGCCGAUCGAUACGUCAGCGGUGAAAUACCAUGGCCCAACCAUGGAACUGCCGUUGAUACUGUCGGUCUUGAAUAUGGUCAAGGUAGGCGGAAUGUGUAAUGUAGCGGUGAAAUGCUUAGAUAUUACACAGAACACCGAUUGCGAAGGCAGCUUACUGGUCCAUUAUUGACGCUGAGGCACGAAAGCGUGGGGAUCGAACAGGAUUAGAAACCCUAGUAGUCC